rnacentral:lncRNA from 1 species
AGACCUGGUCGCGAGAGUGAUAGUGAAGCAGAAGACAUCGAGCAUGCUGAAAAACUCCGUCAAGUUAAAGCAGUUCUUGAAGAGGUAUGCCAUAUAUUUUCUUUUGAUUUACGAAUUCUGACCUGUUGUAGCCCUUCCAAUGCCGUUGCAAAUUGGAAUUAGUUUUGUAGUUCGAUGUUGAUUUUUCAAAGUAAAAUCUAUAUUUGUUGCAAAAUCGUGGUGUUUAUCCUUUUUUUUAGAUGGUAUAGAUGAUUAACCAGAACUCAAAACCGUCAACUUAUUCUGUUGGUUUUUCUGUAAAUGUUUUGGAAUCCAGGGGGACAUUUCUCUGGAAUUUAUAGGAAGGUUCAAUUAAAGCCAUUGAAGUGGGUUAAAGUUGCAAAAAGCAAUGGGGAAGGUGAAGAAGAACGACCUGUAGAAGCGCUAAUGGUUCUUAAAUAUGGGGGUGUG